UGAACGCUAGCGGCAGGCUUAACACAUGCAAGUCGAGGGGUAGCAGGAUUUAGUUUACUAGAUUGCUGACGACCGGCGCACGGGUGAGUAACGCGUAUACAAUUUGCCUUUUACUGGAGGAUAGCCAAGAGAAAUUUUGAUUAAUACUCCAUAGUAUUAUUAGAUCACCUGGUUUGAUAAUUAAAGCUCCGGCGGUAAAAGAUGAGUAUGCGUCCUAUUAGCUAGAUGGUGAGGUAACGGCUUACCAUGGCGACGAUAGGUAGGGGUCCUGAGAGGGAGAUCCCCCACACUGGUACUGAGACACGGACCAGACUCCUACGGGAGGCAGCAGUGAGGAAUAUUGGGCAAUGGAGGCAACUCUGACCCAGCCAUGCCGCGUGCAGGAAGACGGCCCUAUGGGUUGUAAACUGCUUUUAUACAGGAAGAAACUUAUCCACGUGUGGAUAACUGACGGUACUGUAAGAAUAAGGACCGGCUAACUCC
rnacentral:rRNA from 1 species